rfam:Oryza glumipatula chromosome 6, whole genome shotgun sequence.
AAAAAGACAAACUAUGGGUUUCCGUGUCCAACUUUGACUGUCCGUCUUAUAUAAAAUUUUUUUAUAAUUUGUAUUUUCAUUGUUGUUAGAUGAAAAACAUGAUUAAUAUUUUAUACGUGACUUUUUUUUUAAUUUUUUUUAUAUUUUUUUCAAAUAAGACGGACAAUCAAACGUUGGACUCGGAAACCAGGGUUUGUCUUUUU